rnacentral:rRNA from 1 species
AUUGAACGCUUGCGGCAGGCCUAACACAUGCAAGUCGAACGAGUGGCGGACGGGUGAAUAAUGUCUGGGAAACUGCCUGGUAGAGGGGGAUAACGACUGGAGACGGUUGCUAAUACCGCAUACCAUCGGAUGUGCCCAGAUGGGAUUAGCUGGUAGGUGGGGUAACGGCUCACCACGGCGACGAUCCCUAGCUGGUCUGAGAGGAUGACCAGCCACACUGGAACUGAGACACGGUCCAGACUCCUACGGGAGGCAGCAGUGGGGAAUAUUGCACAAUGGGCGCAAGCAUGAUGCAGCCAUGCCGCGUGUAUGAAGAAGGCCGUCGGGUGGUAAAGUACUUUCAGCGGGGAGGCGUUACCCGCAGAAGAAGCACCGGCUAACUCCGUGCCAGCAGCCGCGGUAAUAC